UACGAGGGGGGCGAGCGUUGUCCGGAUUUACUGGGCGUAAAGCGCGCGCAGGCGGUCCGGUAAGUCUCCGGUGAAAUCGCCCGGCUCAACUGGGCGGGUGCCGGGGAGACUGGCGGACUUGAGGAGCCUAGAGGCCGGUGGAACUCCCGGUGUAGUGGUGAAAUGCGUAGAGAUCGGGAAGAACACCAGUGGCGAAGGCGGCCGGCUGGGGGUGUCCUGACGCUGAGGCGCGAGAGCGUGGGGAGCAAACCGG
rnacentral:rRNA from 1 species